UGGGGAAUUUUGGACAAUAGACGCAAGUCUGAUCCAGCCAUGCCGCGUGCGGGAAGAAGGCCUUCGGGUUGUAAACCGCUUUUGUCAGGGAAGAAACGAGUUUCUCUAAUACGUUGGGCUCAUGUCGGUACCGUAAGAAUAAGCACCGGCUACCUACGUGCCAGCAGCCGCGGUAAUACGUAGGGUGCGUGCGUUAAUCGUAAUUACUGGGCGUAAAGCGUGCGCAGGCGGAUAUGCAAGACAGAGGUGAAAGCCACGGGCUCAACCUGGGAACUGCAUUUGUGACUGCAUAGCCAGAGUACGGUAGAGGGGAAUAGAAUUCCGGGUGUAGCAGUGAAAUGCGUAGAUAUGCGGAGGAACACCGAUGGCGAAGGCAAUCCACUGGACCUGUACUGACGCUCAUGCACGAAAGCGUGGGGAGCAAACA
rnacentral:rRNA from 1 species